UUCGUGUCCGCUCUGUAGCAUUUGAACUGCUUGAAGGAUUUCAAAGAAACUCGGCACAAAUGUUCACCACACUGAGACGAUGUGCAGAGCGCAUUUUUCGGAUGACUUGCUUCAAGGUCAAGGUCACACUUAGGGAUCAAACGUCAAUAUAUGACUUUGCUUUGUGUAUAUUGCUCUGCAUUGCAGUGCUCUUGGUUUUAUUUGGCAGAUCCUUAAUUUGGUCACUUACAAUUAUUCUUUUUAAUUACUUCCCUUUCUUGUUACUAUGAAUAGCUUAUUUUGAAAUAUUUUUAUUUUUGGAUGUAGGUAAAACCAAGACCACUUUUUUGUGGUACAACAUAGAUGGUAACUCCCAUUUUUAGGUAUAUUUUGACAUACCUUUACCAGGAGAUUUUUGUGGACUUAGAUUUUUUUUCUUUUGGAUUUUCUUCCCUUUGUUGUUCAAUUUUGCUCCCAUUCUGUGAUGUCACCCUUCGGGCGUAUAUUGCCCCGCUUUGCGGAGCUCUUGUUUUUAGUUGUAACACGGUUGCCAACAACUACAAGGAACGGACACUAACAAAGUUUUAUACCAGUAGGGGACCUCUGUAUUGCCAUUGCAAUACUCGGUCACUUAAAAGGGCUUUGCUACUUUGUGACUGUUUCAACUUUUGAUGGGAGAAACAUUUUCUGUAAAACCAUACUUUUCAAAAAUACUAAUACGGCGCACCAACACAGUAUAGGUUUGGCGCCAUAUAACCUAUACUGUGUUGGUGUGCUGUAAACCCCAAAUAAAUAAAUAAAUAAAUUUAUUUGAUAUAUAAUGUCUAUUUUAAAGGUAUUUAGUAUUUUUGAAAAGUAUGGUUUUACAGAAAAUGUUUCUGCCAUCAGUAUAUAUUUACAAAUUGUGAGCCAUGAAUUAUUUAACACCUUAUGCUUUAACAUAAUUGUUCCCAUAUUUCUCAGUCAUUUUUUUCUACCACAGAAUGCUGAAAAAUAAAUUAUAGAUAUAGUUAAUAAAUAAAAGGGAAGAUCUUUAGAAAGGUUCUAAGGUUAACUACAUGUUUUAUGUCAAGACACCUGCCUGGAUUAUCAGGUUUUUCCAUAUAAUGUCUGCCCUUACAUAUUAUAUAACUGCAGCCUCAGGUGUCGUUGCUGUAUCUGCAGUUUGUCUUCUUUGUACAGAGCUAUUCUUCAUAUGUCCUUUAUUUGCCAGAUGAAUCGAUGAAAUAAUAUCUUACUUCGUCAUUGAUACGUUCCUCCGACAGAUGCAGUGAAGAUCCCAGUUGAUGUGUUGUAUUCGAAACCCUCGUGAGUUACGUUUCUAUCAGAUACAUUGGUCUGGUCAUGAAAAGCUGUAAUUCGAGUGAUCUAUGCAUUUGAGUGCCUACAUGGUCUGAAGAAUUGUUUUACUUUAAAUCAUUGCCUUUAACCUCAUUCAAAGUUGUCUUAUUCGUGUUCAUGAAAAUUUGCUAUGAUCAUGUUGCUGUAUUGUAUGAUGUUUAGAGGUUAAAUCUGAGCACUUAAAAUGAAGUCCUUAGAAGAUCAGUCUUGGCACGUAAGUUUGUAGAAUCUUGUACUAGAUGGUCUUUAUAUUUGUAGAUUUCUAGCGUCGGUAAAUUCAUUUGUCAGUUAUAAUUUACUGUUGUUUAACUUUGUGUUGCAAAUGAAGAAUAAAGCUAAUGUUAUCAUUAUCACUACUGGUUAUGAUCAAAGCAAAUUUAAAGAUAUAGACAUUAAAGUUCUUAUCAUUUUGUCUAGCUAGGGACACUUCAGUGUUCGCUCUAGUCCUGUUGAUCAUUUUGUUAACAUAUACUGAUCCCUUCGUUAUUUCCAUUCCCGUAAUUUCGACUUUUAAUUUACACCUUAUCAAUUUCUCUAAAAGUUGGUCAGUGUUAGAGAUCAUUUAGUGUUUAUUGUAAUGAGAAUGGUCAUCUUGUGAACAUAUUCUAAUAUCAUCGUUAUUUCCGUUUCCAUCAUUUUCACUAACAGUUGUUCUUUACUAGUGAUUCUACAGUGUUUACUGUGAUCAGAUUAGUCGUCUGGUGGAUAUAUACUGAUGUCUUCGUUAUUUCCGUUUCCAUAUUUUCUACCUUGAUUUCUGUUCGUAUCAUUUUCUCUAACAGCUGUUCGUUGCUAGCGAUUCUCCAGUGUUAGUUGUGGUCAGAUUAGUCAUCUUGUGACUGGUGAUUUUUAGCCCACCAUCAUCAGAUGGUGGGCUAUUCAAAUCACUCUGCGUCCGUGGUCCGUCGUCCUUCCGUCCGUUAACAAUUUCUCGUUAUCGCAUCUCCUCAGAAAAUACCAGGGGGAUUUUGACCAAACUUUGCCAGAAUGAUGUUUUGGUACCCUAGUUGUGUCCCUCUGAAAUUGAGACUGGUUCAACAAUUUUUGAGUGAGUUAUGGCCCUUUGUUUAUUUCUAUAAUUUACGUAGAUUUAUAUAGGGAAAAACUUCAAAACAACAGGGCUAGGGCUUUGAUAUUUAGUAUGAAGCAUCAUCUAGUGGUCCUCUACCAAGAUGAUUCAAAUUAUUUGACUGGGGUCUAAUAUGGCCCCGCCUCGGGGGUCACAUGGUUUAUAUAGACCUAUAUAGGGAAAAACUUUGAAAAACCUCUUGUCCAAAACCACAGGGCUUAGGGCUUUGAUAUUUUGUAUGUGACAUCAUCUAGUGGUCUUCUACUAUGAUUAUUCAAAUUAUCCCCCUAGGGUCACAUGGUUUAUAUAGACUUAUAUAGGGAAAAACUUUGAAAAUCUUCUUGUCCAAACCACAAAGCCUAGGGCUUUGGUAUUUGUAAUGUAGCAUCAUUUAGUGGUUCUCUACCCAGUUUUUUCAAAUAAUCCCCCUAGUGUCAAGUACGGCCCCGCCCCGGGGGAGGUGGGGGGUCACAUGGUUCAUAUAGACUUAUAUAGGGAAAAGCUUUUAAAAUCUUCUUGUCAAUAACCAACAACAUUCAGAUUUGGACCACAUGUAUGGUUUUGAAUGGCAAGAUGAACUUUGACCUCGAUUUUGACCUAGUGACCUACUUGCACAUUCCUGUAGCUACAGGCUUCAAAUUUGGACCACAUGUAUAGUUUUGUGCACCGAAAAAAACUUUGACCUUGACAUUGACCUAGUGACCUACUUUCACAUUUUUGAAGGUGCAGGCUUCAGAUUUGGACCACAUGCAUAGAUCUGACCUUGAUUUUGACCUAGUGACCUACUUGCACAUUUCUAAAGCUACAGCCUUCAAAUUUGGACCACUUGCAUAGUUUUGUGUACCGAAAUAAACUUUGACUUUAAGAUUGACUUAGUGACCUACUUUCAAAUUUCUCAAACUACAGCCUUCAAACUUGAUCCACAUGCAUAGUUUUGUGUACAAAGAACUUUGUCCUUGAAAUUGAUCUAGUGACCUACUUUCACAUUUCUCAAGCUACAGCUUUCAAAUUUGGACCACAUGCAUGGACCACGUGCACCGUGUUGUGUACGGAAAUGAAAUUUGACCUUGAGCUAGUCAGUAAGUCUUGAAAUUUGGAACACUCAAAAAUGGCACAUUGGUGGGCGCCAAGAUCACUCUGUGAUCUCUUCUUGUUAUUUCCUUUUCUACGGUCUCGACUUUAAGUCUACUUAAUACCAUUUCUCUAGCGUUUGCCCGACCGUCCAUCUAUCCGUCCGUCAGCAACUCUGGAUGCUGCAAUUGCUUUAAAAGUAUUCAAGCUAGGUUCAUAAAAUCAGGUAUGUUUAUAGAAUGCAGUAUGAAGAUAAUGCACGUACAUGAUUUAUAGUUGUAGGUCAAAGGUCAAGAUCAUUAUUGAAUGUCAAGUAAAAAUUGUUUCUGCUACAUAACUUUUAUAUACAUUGAUGGGUUACCUUAGUGAUACACAUAAAUGUCCCCCAUAAUGUAACAAUGUGUAAACACAUCAUCUAUGCUUGUCGUUUAAAAGUCAAGGUCACUGUUGAAGGUCAAGUGAAAAAAUAUUUCUGCCCCAUAACUUUUAAUUGCACUAAAGGAUUUUUUAUUACAACAAGGAAAUGUUUCCCACGGUUAGACUAUUUGUCUCCCACAUGACCCAUGGUUGUUGGUCAAAGGUCACUUUUGAAGGACAAGUAAAAAUUUGUUUCUGCUUCAUAACAUUUAUGUGUAUUGAUGGAUUAUCUUAAUUCUGCUCACAAAUGUUCACCAUGAUGAGACAAUGUGUCGUGUACAUGAUGUAUGCUUGUAGGUCAAGGUCACUAUUUAAAUUUGAGUAAAAAUAGUUUUUUGGUCUUAGCUCCUUGAAGCAUUUUUAGUCUUAACACUGUUGCCAACAACCACAAGGGACGAACACUAACAAAGUUUUAUACCGGUAGGGGACUUCUGUAUUGCCACUGCAAUACUCGGUCACUUGUUAUAUGUAACCAUAAAGGGUUUGACACUUUGUGAAUGUUUCAACUUCCAUUUGAUAUAUAAUAUCUAUAUUGAAGAUAUUUAAUAUUUUUGAAAAGUAUGGUUUUUAUAGAAUACGUUUAUCCCAUCAGUUCAUGUUUACAAAUUGUGAGCGCAUGAAUUAUUUUACACCUUGUGUUUUAAUAUAUAUAUUCCCGUAUUUCUCAGUCAUGUUUUUAUCUAUCAACAGAGUGCUGAAAAGAAUAUGUGAUAGAUAAAUAGUUGAUAGAUAAAAAGCAAGAUCUUUAGAAAGGUUAUAAGAUUAUCUUUUUAAACUACCUUCUUUAUGUCAUGAAAUUUUCUUGUAUUAUCAGGUUUUUCUACAUAAUGUCUGCCCUUACAUAUUAUUUAACUGCAAACUCAGCUGUUUUGGUUGUAUCUACAGUUUGUCCUUUUUGUACACAGCUGUUCUACAUAGGUCCUUUAUCUUCCGGAUGAACUGAUGAAAUGAAAUAAUAUCUUACUUCGUCAUUGAUAUGUUCCUCCGACAGAUGCAGUGAAUAUCCCAGUGGAUGUGUCGUAUUCGAAACCCUCGUUUGUUAACGUUUCUAUCAGAUACAUUGGACUGGUCAUGAGAAGCUGUAAUUAGUAUGAUUUUUAUGUUCUUUUUCGCUGAUACAUGCAUUUGAAUGUCAACAUGGUCUGAAUUAUUGCCUUCAACCUUAUUCUAAGUUGUCUUGUUCUUGGUCAAGUAAAUAUGCUAUGAUCAUGUUUCUAUGUUUUGUGGUGUUUAGAGGUGAAAUCCGAGCACAUAACAUGAAGUCCUGAGAAGAUAAGUCCUUCCCAGAACAUUCUUUUAUGGUGGUUAAAUAUUAGUGGAGGCUGCUAUAGUUAUAUUUUUCAAUUGUCAUACAGAAAUGUACAUCUGUCACCAUGCAUUUCGAAAUUGGUAUGAACGCAUUCAGGUAAUGCACUCUAUCCUGUCUCACCAAGUCGAUUUUGACACGUAUGUGCGUAGAAUCUUGUAGAUGGGUCUUUUAUUUGUAGAUUUCUAGCAUGGGUAGCUCCAUUUGUCAGAUACUUGCACAGUUAUAAUGUACUCUUAUUCUUCUUCUCCAAUAGUAAUGGCAAACGUUCAAUAAUGAUAUAGUAUGGCCAUGCGUUGGCCAUCUUGUUUAACUUAAUCUUGCAAUUGAAGUAUAAAGUUAUCAUUAUCACUACUGGUUAUGGUUAAAGUAAAAGUAAAACAAAAUGUAGAGUUUAAUUCCAGUUCUUAUUUUAUCAAGAUGUCUACCUAGCGAUUCUUCAUUGUUUACUGUGGUCCUUAUUGAUCAUUUUGUGAGCAUAUACAUGUACUGUACUGAUGCCUUCAUUACUCCCUUUCCCGUAAUUUCGACUUUAAUUUCUGUCCUGAUCAUUUUCUCUAAAAGUUGUUCAUUGUUAGCAAUCGUUCAGUGUUUAUUGUAAUAAGAUUGGUCAUAUUGUGAUCAUAUACUGAUGUCUUCGUUAUUUCCGUUUCCGUCGUUUCUACUUUUAUUUCCGUCCUUACCAUGUUUCUAAUAGUUUCUCAGUGUUAGCGAUUCUUCAGUGUUUACUUUGAUCAGUAUGAUCAUUUUGUGAACAUAUACUGAAGUUUUUAUUAUUAUCUUUUCCAUAGUCUCUACAUUUAUUUCAGUUCAUACCAUUUUCUGUAACCGUUCUUUGCUAGUGAUUCUACAGUGUUUACUGUGAUCAAAUUAGUCAUCUGGUGAAUAUAUACUGAUGUCUUCGUUAUAUCCGUUUCCAUGGUUUCUACCUUUAUUUUCGUCCUUAUCAUUUUCUCUAACAGUUGGUCAGUGUUAGUGAUUCUUCAGUGUUUACUGUGGUUGUGAACAUAUACUGAUGUCAUCGUUAUUUCCUUUUCCGUAGUUUCGACUUUAAUUUCAGUCCUAAUCAAUUUCUCUAACAGUUGUUCAUUAUUAGCGAUUCUUUAGUAUUAAUUAUAAUAAGAUUGGUCAUCUUGUAAACAUAUACUGAUGUCUUCUUUAUUUCUGUUUCCAUCGUUUCUACUUUUAUUUCCGUCCUUAUCUUUUUCUCUAGCAGUUGGUCAGUGUUAACGAUUCUUCAGUGUUAUUAGUAAUCUUGUGAACAUAUACUGAUGUCUUUAUUUCAGUUUCCAUCGUUUCUACUUCUUUAACUUCCGUCCUUAUCAUUUUCUCUAACAGUUGGUCCGUGUUAGCGAUUCUUCAGUGUUUAUUGUGAUAAGGUUGACCUUCUGGUGAACAUAUACUGAAGUCUUUGUUAUUUCCAUUUCCAUAGUUUCUAUUUUUAUUUCAGUUCGUAUCAUCUUUUCUAAAAUUUGUUCUUUGCUAGCGACUCUUCAGUGUUAAUUGUGAUCAGAUUAGUCAUCUAGUGAACAUAUACUGAAGUCUUUGUUAUUUCCGUUUCCAUAGUUUCUAUUUUUAUUUCAGUUCGUAUCAUCUUUUCUAAAAUUUGUUCUUUGCUAGCGACUCUUCAGUGUUAAUUGUGAUCAGAUUAGUCAUCUAGUGAACAUAUACUGAAGUCUUUGUUAUUUCCGUUUCCAUAGUUUCUAUUUUUAUUUCAGUUCGUAUCAUCUUUUCUAAAAUUUGUUCUUUGCUAGCGACUCUUCAGUGUUAAUUGUGAUCAGAUUAGUCAUCUGAUGAACAUAUACUGAAGUCUUUGUUAUUUCCUUUUCCAUAGUCUCGACUUUAAGUCUAGUUAAUAUCAUUUCUCUAGCAGUUGUACUUUAUUAGCUAUUGUUCAGUGUUUACUGUUUUAAGACUGGUUAUCUUGUGAAUAUAUACUAAUGUCAUCAUUAUAUCCUUUUCCGUAGUUUUGACUUUAAUUUCAGUCCCAAUCAUUUUCUCUAACGUUCAUUGUUAGCGAUUCUUCAGUAUUAAUUGUAAUAAGAUUGGUCAUCUUGUAUACAUAUACUGAUGUCUUCUUUAUUUCUGUUUCCAUUGUUUCUACUUUUAUUUCCGUCCUUGUCAUUUUCUGUAACAGCUUUGGUCAGUGUUGGCGAUUCUUCAGUAUUUACUGUGAUCAGAUUGAUCAUCUUGUGAAUAUAUACUGAUGUUUUCGUUACUACCUUUUCCAAAAUCUCGACUCCAAGUCCAGUUAAUAUCAUUUCUCCAGCAGUUGUACUUUAUUAGCUAUUUUUCAGUGUUUACUGCAAUAAGAUUGAUCAUCUUGUGAAUACAUAAAGAUGUCUUCGUUAUUUCCUUUUCCGUAGGUUCGACUUUGAUUUCCGUCCUAAUCAUUUUUUCUAACAGUUGUUCUUUGUUAGCGAUUCUUCAGUGUUAAUUGUGAUCAAAUUGAUCAUCUUGUAAAUAUAUACUGAUGUUUUUUGUUAUUAUUUUUUUCCGUAGUCUCGACUUCAAGUCCAUUUAAUAUCAUUUCUCCAGCAGGGGUACUUUAUUAGCUAUUCUUCGGUGUUUACUGCAAUAAGAUUGGUUAUCUUGUAAAUAUAUAAUGAAGUCUUCAUUAUUUUAUUUUCCGUAGUUUCUACUUUUAUUUCCGUCCGAAUCAUUUUUUCUAACAGUUGUUCAUUGUUAGCGAUUCUUCAGUAUUUAUUGUGAUAAAAUUGGCCAUCUUGUAAACAUAUACUGAUGUCUUCGUAAUUUCCGUUUCCAUAGUUUCUACUUUUAUUUCUUCCCUGUGUAAAUAUAUACUAUAUUCGUUAUUUCUUUUUCCGUAGUGUCGACUUCAAGUCCAUUUAAUACUAUUUCUCUAGCAGUUGUACUUUCUUAGCUAUUCUACGGUGUUUACUACAAUAAGAUUGGUUAUCAUGUAAAUAUAUACUGAUGUCGUUAUUUCCUUUUCCGUAGUUUCUACCUUUAUUUCUGUCCUAAUCAUUUUUUCUAACAGUUGUUCGUUGUUGGCGAUUCUGCAGUGCUUAUUGUGAUAAAAUUGGCCAUCUUGUAAACAUAUACUGAUGUCUUCGUUAUUUCCGUUUCCAUAGUUUCUACUUUUAUUUCUGCCCUGGUCAUUUUUUCUAAAAGUUGCUCUUUCCAAGCAUAGUUUGUGUGGGGUAUUUUUUUUUAUUUUGUAUCAUAUUUAACAAUAAAAGAAUUUAUAUAUGAUUAUUAUAUGAUUAUUAUAUUUAGAUUCUAUUAAGAUUAUCAUUUAUGUAUCUAAUUAUUUAAAAAAAUCAGUUUCACAAAGACAGGAGGCUAUAUUGGAGUCACACACGUCCGUAGGUCCAGAGGAAUAUCCCUGAAACUAUUAUGAAAAAAAAGUUUUUAUUCAAGAAUAUUUGUUAACUAAUGUUGACUGCUAAAUACUCUGUUAUUAACUUAUUCAUUAUACAUGUAUUUGUAGUGAGAUUAAUUGAAAAUGUGAUUAUGGUUUUUAAUAAUUUGUUAUUUUUUGUACGAUAUACAAUACAAUUUAGAAUAAAUUUUGUGUAAUAAA